UCCAGACUCCUACGGGAGGCAGCAGUGGGGGAUAUUGCACAAUGGGGGGAACCCUGAUGCAGCAACGCCGCGUGAAGGAAGAAGGCUUUCGGGUUGUAAACUUCUUUUAAGAGGGAAGAGUAGAAGACGGUACCUCUUGAAUAAGCCACGGCUAACUACGUGCCAGCAGCCGCGGUAAUACGUAGGUGGCAAGCGUUGUCCGGAUUUACUGGGUGUAAAGGGCGUGUAGCCGGGUUGACAAGUCAGAUGUGAAAUCCUGCGGCUUAACCGCAGAACUGCAUUUGAAACUGUUGAUCUUGAGUACUGGAGAGGCAGACGGAAUUCCUAGUGUAGCGGUGAAAUGCGUAGAUAUUAGGAGGAACACCAGUGGCGAAGGCGGUCUGCUGGACAGCAACUGACGGUGAGGCGCGAAAGCGUGGGGAGCAAACAGGAUUAGAUACCCUCGUAACA
rnacentral:rRNA from 1 species